CCUACGGGUGACAGCAGUGAGGAAUAUUGGUCAAUGGCCGGAAGGCUGAACCAGCCAAGUCGCGUGAAGGAAGAAGGUUCUAUGUUUUGUAAACUUCUUUUAUAGGGGAAUAAAGGUAUCCACGUGUGGAUAUUUGCAUGUACCCUAUGAAUAAGCAUCGGCUAACUCCGUGCCAGCAGCCGCGGUAAUACGGAGGAUGCGAGCGUUAUCCGGAUUUAUUGGGUUUAAAGGGUGCGUAGGUUGUUUUUUAAGUCAGCGGUGAAAGUUUGGGGCUCAAACAUAGAAUUGCCGUUGAAACUGGAAGACUUGAGUGUGUUUGAGGUAGGCGGAAUGCGUGGUGUAGCGGUGAAAUGCAUAGAUAUCACGCAGAACUCCGAUUGCGAAGGCAGCAUACUAGGCCAAAACUGACGCUGAAGCACGAAAGCGUGGGGAUCGAACAGGAUUAGAUACCCUAGUAGUC
rnacentral:rRNA from 1 species